rnacentral:lncRNA from 1 species
GCCCAGGAGGAGGUGCAGAGGCUUGAAGACGCCGCGGCUGUCCCCGGAGAUGCCUUGGCCGCCUUCUUCGACGAUGAGGUGGAGCUUCCCCCCUCGGAGUUCAAGGACCUGGAGAGACAGCGCAGCAGCAAUCUUAGUUUUCUUUUUUCUUUUUGUGGGUGUUGAGGCCAGUAGGCCUUGUAUCAUAUAUACAAUGUUAAUGUCGAAUCUAGAUAUUAAGCUUUUUUCCUAAGUGUGUUGUUUUCUUUUUCCUUAUGCCGAUCUGACCUCGGCAGCGCGAGGUCGGGUAAGCUAUUUAAAGUUAUUGCGCUAGCCAGAGUCCCCGAGCCUAAGUCCUUUUCCUUUUUCCUUAGUUAGUUUUCAGAAGUCCGGAUCCGUC